rnacentral:rRNA from 1 species
ACCAGACUCCUACGGGAGGCAGCAGUGGGGAAUAUUGGACAAUGGGGGGAACCCUGAUCCAGCGACGACGCGUGAGUGAAGAAGUAUUUCGUUAUGUAAAGCUCUCUCAGCAGGGAAGAAAGUGACGGUACCUGAGUAAGAAGCCCCGGCUAACUACGUGCCAGCAGCCGCGGUAAUACGUAGGGGGCAAGCGUUAUCCGGAUUUACUGGGUGUAAAGGGAGCGUAGACGGCAGUGCAAGUCUGGAGUGAAAGGCGGGGGCUCAACCCCCGGACUGCUCUGGAAACUGUACGGCUGGAGUGCAGGAGAGGUAAGUGGAAUUCCUAGUGUAGCGGUGAAAUGCGUAGAUAUUAGGAGGAACACCAGUGGCGAAGGCGGCUUACUGGACUGUAACUGACGUUGAGGCUCGAAAGCGUGGGGAGCAAACAGGAUUAGAUCCCCGGGUA